rnacentral:rRNA from 1 species
UUGGUACCUGAUAUCAGGCAAGAUUACCCGCUGAACUUAAGCAUA